ACGAAUAUGUUCGCCACCACAGAAACAUAACUAAAUAUAUUGUAUUUAUUGCAUUUUUAUGAUUUAUGACAAAACUACGCAAAUAUUUAUUGUUUUUAUUAUAAAUAAUAAAUACAAUAAAUACAAUAUAUUUAGUUAUGUUUCUGUGGUGGCGAACAUAUUCGU
rnacentral:miRNA from 1 species